GCCUGGCUACAGACUAGUCUGAUAGUGGAGCGGAUCGAUGGGAGCUUGCUCCCUGAGAUCAGCGGCGGACGGGUGAGUAACACGUGGGUAACCUGCCUGUAAGACUGGGAUAACUCCGGGAAACCGGGGCUAAUACCGGAUAACACCUACCCCCGCAUGGGGGAAGGUUGAAAGGUGGCUUCGGCUAUCACUUACAGAUGGACCCGCGGCGCAUUAGCUAGUUGGUGAGGUAAUGGCUCACCAAGGCGACGAUGCGUAGCCGACCUGAGAGGGUGAUCGGCCACACUGGGACUGAGACACGGCCCAGACUCCUACGGGAGGCAGCAGUAGGGAAUCUUCCGCAAUGGACGAAAGUCUGACGGAGCAACGCCGCGUGAGUGAAGAAGGUUUUCGGAUCGUAAAACUCUGUUGUUAGGGAAGAACAAGUGCCGUUCGAAUAGGGCGGCGCCUUGACGGUACCUAACCAGAAAGCCACGGCUAACUACGUGCCAGCAGCCGCGGUAAUACGUAGGUGGCAAGCGUUGUCCGGAAUUAUUGGGCGUAAAGCGCGCGCAGGUGGUUUCUUAAGUCUGAUGUGAAAGCCCACGGCUCAACCGUGGAGGGUCAUUGGAAACUGGGGAACUUGAGUGCAGAAGAGGAAAGUGGAAUUCCAAGUGUAGCGGUGAAAUGCGUAGAUAUUUGGAGGAACACCAGUGGCGAAGGCGACUUUCUGGUCUGUAACUGACACUGAGGCGCGAAAGCGUGGGGAGCAAACAGGAUUAGAUACCCUGGUAGUCCACGCCGUAAACGAUGAGUGCUAAGUGUUAGAGGGUUUCCGCCCUUUAGUGCUGCAGCUAACGCAUUAAGCACUCCGCCUGGGGAGUACGGUCGCAAGACUGAAACUCAAAGGAAUUGACGGGGGCCCGCACAAGCGGUGGAGCAUGUGUUUUAAUUCGAAGCAACGCGAAGAACCUUACCAGGUCUGACAUCUCUGACAACCCUAGAGAUAGGGCUUUCCCUCGGGGACAGAGUGACAGUGGUGCAUGUGUCGUCAGCUCGUGUCUGAGAUUGUGGGUAGUCCCGCAACGAGCGCCACCCUUGAUCUAGCUGGCAGCAAUCCAGUGGCACUCUAAGAAUGACUGGCGUUGACCACGGAGGAGGUGGGAUGACGUUCAAUCUCAUGCUAGACCUGCCUACACGUCUACAGUUGACGUAUCAAAUGAGCU
rnacentral:rRNA from 2 species